GAUGAACGCUGGCGGCGUGCCUAAUACAUGCAAGUCGAGCGAACAGACGAGGAGCUUGCUCCUCUGACGUUAGCGGCGGACGGGUGAGUAACACGUGGAUAACCUACCUAUAAGACUGGGAUAACUUCGGGAAACCGGAGCUAAUACCGGAUAAUAUAUUGAACCGCAUGGUUCAAUAGUGAAAGACGGUUUUGCUGUCACUUAUAGAUGGAUCCGCGCCGCAUUAGCUAGUUGGUAAGGUAACGGCUUACCAAGGCAACGAUGCGUAGCCGACCUGAUAGGGUGAUCGGCCACACUGGAACGGAGACACGGUCCAGACUCCUACGGGAGGCAGCAGUAGGGAAUCUUCCGCAAUGGGCGAAAGCUUGACGGAGCAACGCCGCGUGAGUGAUGAAGGUCUUCGGAUCGUAAAACUCUGUUAUUAGGGAAGAACAAAUGUGUAAGUAACUAUGCACGUCUUGACGGUACCUAAUCAGAAAGCCACGGCUAACUACGUG
rnacentral:rRNA from 1 species